rnacentral:rRNA from 1 species
UACGGAGGGAGCUAGCGUUGUUCGGAAUUACUGGGCGUAAAGCGCACGUAGGCGGCUUUUUAAGUCAGGGGUGAAAUCCCGGGGCUCAACCCCGGAACUGCCCUUGAAACUGGAGAGCUAGAAUCUUGGAGAGGCGAGUGGAAUUCCGAGUGUAGAGGUGAAAUUCGUAGAUAUUCGGAAGAACACCAGUGGCGAAGGCGACUUACUGGACACGUAUUGACGCUGAGGUGCGAAAGCGUGGGGAGCAAACAGG